GACGAACGCUGGCGGCGUGCUUAACACAUGCAAGUCGAACGGAAAGGCCCUGCUUUUGUGGGGUGCUCGAGUGGCGAACGGGUGAGUAACACGUGAGUAACCUGCCCUUGACUUUGGGAUAACUUCAGGAAACUGGGGCUAUUACCGGAUAGGAGCUCCUGCUGCAUGGUGUGGGUUGGAAAGUUUCGGCGGUUGGGGAUAGACUAGCGGCUUAUCAGCUUGUUGGUGGGGUAGUGGCUUUCCAGGGGUUUGAAGGGUAGCCGGCCUUAGAGGGUGACCGGCCACAUUGGGACUGCGGGACGGACCAGUCUCCAACGUGAGGCAGCAGUCGGGAAUAUUGCACAACGGGCGGAAGUCUGAUGCAGCAACGCCGCGUUCGUGAUGCCGUCCUACGAGGUGUAAACCGCUUUCGCCUGUGACGAAGCGUUAUUGACGGUAAUGGGUAAAGAAGCACCGGCUAACUACGUG
rnacentral:rRNA from 1 species